rnacentral:misc_RNA from 1 species
AAGUCGUAACAAGGUAACCGUAGGUGAACCUGCGGUUGGAUCAUUACGAAAAUCCAAAAUAUCCUCUGCCUGCGUUGUCUAGCUUUCACAGCAAAACAGCGCAGCGGGCGAUACACACCUUCUGUGAACCAUUGAAAUGCAUUUUGGGCAGUAUCCAUAUCAAGCAUGUAGUAGUUGAAGUCUCUAAAAAAGACCUCCUUUGCAUGUGGACUGACCGAAAGGUAAUGUAUUCGGACGGGUUUAUUUUAAAAGCGUGAAGAAGAAGGUCGCUCAUUCGAGGACCUCCUCUUCAUGUGGACCAUCCGAGCACUACAAACAUACCCCAAUAUCUUAUCUUCUGUAUCUAGUCUUAUAAAAGAGAAACAAUGAGAAACAACUUUAGACAACGGAUCUCUUGGCUCUC